AACUAUUCUCACAAAACAACUCUAUUACACAAUCAGUUUAAAAAAAAUGGUGGAUAGAAGUUAGAAGAUUACCCAUCACAAUCUAUGGAGAUGACAUUCAUUUUGGUAACUUUUCCUUCCUUUGUCAACUCCCGCUCUAUGUCAACUCCAGUCAGAAUUCCAAUUAUAUCUGCGUUAAACACUACUGAAGUUAAUAACAGAAAACUUAUAUUGAAAAGAUACCAAAAACCAGCAGAAAAACCAACAUGUUUGUAUUCCCUCAAAUGUUAUAAGUAUACACUACAUUCCGAAUGAAGACUAAGAAGACUAAGAACCGUGACAGUUGAUUUUCUUAACUUUAAUUUAUUUAUUUAAUAAGAAUACGUAAAAUGAUGACAUAAUAGUUAGUCCAUUACAUAGUUAGUUCAUUUUUUAUUUUCGUAUUAUUAAACUAAAAUUUAAAUGCUCACUCUUGUAUGGUAUACGCUUAACAAAUAUAGGUUAUUUUAUUCAUUACAUAAAUAUUUAACAAUACUAAAUAUUUAUUUAAAAAAUUAAAAUAUUUUGAUCGGAUUCUCACUUCUAGAUAAUUACCAUUUUAAAAAAAAUGUACAAAUGGCCUCAGGAGCAAGGCUUUCCUGAAUAAAUAGGCGAAGUAGUUGAAAACGGCGUCGUAAUAAUGUAAAGACACAUGAAAGUUUGUAGUUUUAGGUUUCAUUUUCAGUGAAGAAGAAGAAGAAGGUGGUGGUGGAAGAAGCAUCACUUUUGCACAUUCUCAAGAAGAAGAAGAAUGUGGACGCGGAUAAUCGCACGAGCAACACGUGCCGUCCCUGGUGCUCGCAACUGCUCAGCAAUUCACCAACGCAUCUCUAACCCUAUCUUUUUCAAAAUCCCAAAAUCAACUUUCCCCCAAAUUCUCAACAACCCUCGAUUUUUCGCCACCGAUUCCACACUCACCCUCGAUGACGAGCUCUCGCCGGAAUUUUCAGAAAACGGCAGUGACAGACAGCGCGUAGAAGAAGGAGACACGUACGAGGUUGACGUAGACAAGUUGGAGAGUGUGCUGCGUCUUCUUGAAAUCAGUGCUGAUGGGUCCUUUCAGUCGUGUUUGGAUGACAUGGAUUUAACCCUGCAUCAGCAAUUGGUGACAAAAGUAAUCGAAAGUCCGCUUGUUUUGGGUGAGAAUCUGAUAAGGUUUUUCAGAUGGGCAUGGAGUGAGAGAUCAUUGGAGGUGACCACCCCAAUGGUGGAGUCUCUUGUUUUGGCUAUAUGUGGAAAUGAUGUGAGGAAGAAAGAGGCGUACUCGCUGUGGGAUUUGGUUAAGGAGAUUGGAGAGAAGGAGAGUGGAAUCCUCAAUGUUAGUAUUCUCAACGACUUGAUACUUUGCUUCUCGAGGUUGGUGAAAGGGAAGGCUGCAUUGGAGGUGUUUGACAAAUUUGAGGCCUUUCACUGUGUGCCGGAUGCAGACACUUAUUACUUCACAAUCGACGCGGUUUGUCGGCGGCGUGCUUAUGAUUGGGCUUGUGGUGUUUGUGAGAAGAUGGUUGAUGCACAGGCAUUGCCUGAUAGCGAGAAAGUUGGUGCCAUUUUGUCUUGGUUGUGUAAGGGCAAGAAGGCUAAGGAGGCCCAUGGAGUGUAUGUGGUGGCAAUGGAGAAAGGGAAACGGCCACCGAUGACUGCGGUUAGCUUUUUGGUUGCCAAGCUCUGUGGGGAAGAUGAAACUGUGAAAUUGGCUUUGGAGAUGUUGGAGGAUAUCCCUGAGGAGAAGAGGAAGCGUGCGAUAAAGCCGUUUAUGACGGUUGUUCGGGCAUUGUGUAGGAUUAAGGAAGUUGAUAAAGCCAAGGAGUUAUUGGUGAAGAUGAUUAAGGAUGGGCCGCCACCUGGGAAUGAUGUUUUCAAUUUUAUUGUCACAGGGUAUUCUAGGGCUGGGGAAAUUGGGAAAGCUGUGGAGACGAUGAAGCUGAUGGAUAGUAGGGGUUUGAGACCGGAUGUGUACACUUAUACUGCUCUUGCUAGUGCUUAUUCAAAUGGUGGGGAGAUGGAAGAGGCUAGGAAGAUCUUGGCAGAAGCGAAAAAGAAGCAUGUUAAGUUGGGCCCCGUGAUGUUUCACACCCUGAUUCGUGGAUAUUGCAAGUUGGAACAGUUUGAUGAGGCUCUGAAGUUGUUCUCAGAGAUGAAAAAUUAUGGCGUUCAACCCAGUGUGGAUGAGUAUGAGAAGUUGAUACAGUCUCUGUGCUUGAAGGCUUUGGAUUGGGAAAUGGCGGAAAAGCUACUUGAGGAAAUGAAAGAGAAUGGUUUGCAUCUCAAGGGCAUCACGAGGGGUUUGAUUAGAGCUGUCAAGGAGAUGGAGAAGGAGGUUGUCGAGGUUGAGAGCAUUACUGCAGUAGCGGAGACAUAGUUCACUGUUUCAGGUUAUAUGAGUGGCCUGGUAGUUGUAACUUUUUUCUUCAUUAGCAUACUAUUUUGAUAGGAAGUUGCAGUCUCAAUGCAAAAAUAAUUGAGAGGAGAAAAUUUGAGAAGUGAUUGUUGAUGUGUUUGAUGUUUUUAACCUGCACUUUUUAUUUAUCGUUUUAUAAUAUUGAAUUGAGUUGGCCAUGUUUCUUAUCCUUCUUUCUUUUGCACAAUGUUGUGAUCAACAUUCUUUUUUAUUGCUCUUGAUGAUAUAGGAUUACGUUGGAUAAGAAUCAAUUUGCAUCCUUCCCUCUUCCGACUCACUGACACAUGAAAAUUGUUGCAUACUAGUUGAAUACAUAGACUCAUGAGGCUUUGUGGCUUACCAUAUUUUAUGUAUUUGGUGGAUCAGGAUUCCCUUUGAUUGCUAACCAGAAAAAUGACUAUAGUAGUACUUAUGUUACUUGUUUCAUUGACAGGAAACAACUUUUAGUUGAUAAAUACCAUAUGUUGUAGCAACCCGUGUUGUGUAGUGUUACUUCCCUACUGCGUUCAUUUGAUCCUUUCCUAAGUUGUUGCUUAAUUGCCUUGGUUUUAGCCCACGAGGAGGUAAACUAAAUUCUGUUGAAGAAAAAGAAGGGAUAAUACAACUUUGGGUAGGCUAAGAAGUAUUCAAAAGUAGAAGCAAUUAUAUUUUUUAAUUGAAAUAACUAAGUAGCAUCAAAGUCACUGAGUUUGUUUGCAUAUUGGAGAUAGAAAUUCUUCUCAAUUUUGAUGUUUUGGGCAGGUUUGAUCAGAUAAAGUCGAAACUGUGGUUUGUUAAAUUGGGUAUGGGGCUAUGCGCUUAGCAUUCUGCAUCCUGAAUUUUCAUAUUCCAAGUCAACAAGCAUUGACACGAAGUAUCCAACCAACCACAUUUUCUCCAUCACCAACUGCCUUCCUCAGUUGAGUUAGCCUUUAUUCAGGUAUAUGUUAAACUGUUUUUCCAAUUGCAGCUCUAAUCCAGCUGUUCUUGUCUUGAUAAAACAGAAAGAAUAUUUAUUGGAAAAAAAUUUACUACCUCUUCGUUUAUCUAACAAAUGUUAGACAUUUAAAACCUACAAAUAACUGGAUAUUCAAUUAAUAUGCAAGUUGAAUCAAUUUGAGAUUAAUCAUAUAUUAUAUAAAAAGUCUUCUAGGUAUAUAAUGUUUUUUAUUACCUGUUCAAAGUAGAUGCUAACCAUUCAGUUAAUUUGACUCUGAC
rnacentral:lncRNA from 1 species